AGCUUAGAGUAGGAGAGAUGAAGAGCCAUGUGGCUUCUUGGGGUGCUAUCAAAGACAGCAAUGACAAAGUGAUCUGGCGUCCUCCAUAGCAAGUGAUGUGCUAUGACCUAUCACUUCAAGCUUCUGCUACCUUGACUUCUUCAUCCUGAUGGAUGGUGCCUUGAACUGUCAGCUAGAAUAAAAGCUUUCUCCCUUAAGUUGCUUUUAUCCCAACAACAGGAAUAAAAAUUAAGACAGACCAGU